rnacentral:tRNA from 1 species
GUCCCUGUGGCGCAAUUGGUUAGCGCGUUCGGCUGUUAACCGAGAGGUUUGGUGGUUCAAGCCCACCCAGGGACG